CCACAACAAAAUUCACAUAGCAUAAAAUGAAGUUGAAUUAAUAAACUUCACAACGAGUUUAACAUUUUGGAAAAUCUAUUUUACUCUACUUUCCUAGCUUAAAGAGGAAAUUUGAUAGAAAAAGUACAAAAAGAUGGACAUUAGUCAUUACUGUCCAAAGGACAAAUGCUAGUUUGUCAAUGAUAUCUACAGGACACCAUCAUGCACAAUCGCCAACAGUAAGCUACAAUUAAGUGGACCAAUAGUCCAUUUUCAUGUCCAAGGCUAACCUUGCAGGCAGUCUAGUUUGAAUAGAAUGUGAUAGAGAAACAUAAAUCUGAAUCUCUCAGAUGCAUCCACAUGUCCCCGUGUUUGCAUAACUGCAGAGAGAAUUCUGCUAUAAAAACUAAAUAUAGUAAAGCUACUUUGAGAUUAGAACACUGAAGUAGCAACAUAUCCAGCAAGAAAGUCCCCAAAUUUCUUAAGCAAUUCAUCCCUUUUUCUCCAAAGUGACAGAUGCAGAAGCCAAAUCUUCAGCUGUUACUGGCUUGUGCAGCAGAAUAGCCAGGUGGAAGAGGAAGUGUAGCACCUAGCAAAUUUCUGCCUCUGAAAUAGGCUUCUUCCACUACCAGUCCUUCCACUUCGAUCCCUGUGGGCUUGGGUUUGAAAUAUUGGGAAACGGCACAAGGGCCGUCAUAUUUGAUGCAGCAAGGGAGGUGAUGGAGAUGACCAGUGAGAUUUGGGAGUUGCUCUGAUGAUGCUAAGUUGUGAUUUUUGCUCAGAUUUAUCUUCCCUAUUGUUCCUGCUUCCCAAUGUCCCUCUCCUUCCAUUCUCUUCUUCCCAAUUUUGAUUCUGUCAAAAACUGAAGCACAUCUUAUUUGAGAGGGAAAAAAAAGAUUAUUUUAUUUUUAUAUUUAUUUUGUUUUUGUAAAAAUCCUUGUUUAACAUCAACAGCUUUAUUUUUCAAAAUCUCUCAAGUUAUAUACUUUAUGAAAAUUAAAGAUAUGUUGUCCUUCUUAGGAAGAUAAGAUAUGAGGAAAUGAUAAAACCAAUUUUUAUCGAAAAAAUAAAAAAUCAAUUUUAAUUUUUCUUAAAAUUUUCUUUUCCUUGUUCCUCAAAAUCAUUUUUGUACGUUUACCAUUUUUUUUUUUUAAAUGACCUCAGAAAUAUGUCUGAAAUUGAAAUUUAAAAAAAAAAUGCUAUCUAAAUUUCCAAGCAUUCCAAGUUAGAAAUGAACAUUCCCAAAUUUUUCAAGCCAGCACACAAAAGCAACACUCAAUGCAACAAAACACAACUGCUCAAUCCAAGCCUACAACUGCUCUCCCCCACUUAUGAUAGUCCAAUUCUCCAUAAGCAAAGGGUAUUCAUUUCAGUCCCAUUCUCCAAAUGCAUGGAUAUUUAUUUCCAAAUCAACUCAAUAAGAACAUGUUUCAUCAUUUACAUAUUCUCAGAGUCACAAAUGCAUACUUCCAUGUUUUCUCACCAUCGAUAAAGAAGAAUCACAUAUCCAAAUGUAUCCAUCUACGCUACAAACAUCAAUUUAGGAAUCUCAACAAGAGGUUUCAACCCUCAACUUUAAAAUAUCAUAUUAAGGGUUUAUCAAUCAAAUCUCGACAAUUAAAUUAUACAUAAACCACCAGAAUUAGCAUUCAAUCAAACACACACUAUCAAAUGCCAAACCUCAAAUCAAACAUUCUUUAACGGAAUAAAAAAAAUGUACAAUUUGUCAUCACAAGCUAAACAAGAAUUUACAAAUUAAAUCCAAGGAACUCACACACAAACAGUCCAUACAUCCAUCUCUUACCCUUAAUUAGAUAUCAAGAAAACACAAUUCCGUUUAAAAAUUCAUUUUUUUUUUGCAAACAAAUUUCCCCAUCCCAACACCAGUGAAUCCAGCUUCCAAGCUAUGAUUUGCAAAACCUAGGGAGGCCAGUUGAACUAGGAAGUUUCUUCAUUAGCUCAUCAGAGUCCCAUCAUCGGCUCACGACAUUUGAGAUUGUGUUAACCACCAGUGAGAUGAUAACCACAGCUUACACAGCUUUGAGGCGUGAAAUCAAUCGGAACGAGAGCAAUCGGAGAAGGAGACUUCUUUACUACAGAAGACACAGCAACAAAAAAUAACACUCACGAGCAGACUGAAGUUGGAGCAGUAAUGAAAGCUCGUGAAGGCGAUUAGAGGCCCGGAACUGGAAGAUGAGGAGCUUGUGAAGGGCGCUUUGAUUGCAUGCUCUCGCUGACGUAAGAGGCAUUAAGAGUGGAGGACAGCUACUGUAAUUGGGGUGGUUCUCGGACCU
rnacentral:misc_RNA from 1 species